UACAGAGGGUGCAAGCGUUGUUCGGAAUUAUUGGCGUAAGCGCGUGUAGGCGGCCUGGCAAGUUGGGUGUGAAAGCCCUCGCUUAACCGAGGAAGUGCGCCCAAAACUACGAGGCUUGAGUACCGGAGAGGGUGGCGGAAUUCCCGGUGUAGAGGUGGAAAUUCGAUAGAUAUCGGAGGAACACCACGAGGCGGCAAGGACGGCCGACCCU
rnacentral:rRNA from 1 species